rnacentral:tRNA from 1 species
GCCGGACUGGCGGAAUGGCAGACGCAGGGGACUUAAAAUCCCCAGUCCGAAGGGGCGUGAGGGUUCGAGUCCCUCGUCCGGCACCA